GACGGGGGGGGCAAGUGUUCUUCGGAAUGACUGGGCGUAAAGGGCACGUAGGCGGUGAAUCGGGUUGAAAGUGAAAAGUCGCCCAAAAAACUGGCGGAAUGCUCUCGAAACCAAUUCACUUGGGUGAGACAGAGGAGAGUGGAAUUUCGUGUUGUAGGGGUGGAAAAUCCGCAAAUCUACGAAGGAAGGCCAAAAGCGAAGGCAGCUCUCUGGGUCCCUACCGACGCGUGGGGGUGCGAAAGCAUGGGGAGCGAACAGG
rnacentral:rRNA from 1 species